AAACAGGCUGAAUGUUAUUGUGUGAAAA
rnacentral:sRNA from 1 species